rnacentral:tRNA from 1 species
UCCCAGGUGGCUCAGUGGUAAAGAAUCUGCCUGCCAAGCAGGAGACCUGGGUUUGAUCCCUGGGUUGAGAA